rnacentral:rRNA from 1 species
AGAGUUUGAUCCUGGCUCAGGACGAACGCUGGCGGCGGGCUUAAUACAUGCAAGUCGAACGCAGUCGACCUUCGGGUCACAUGACUGAGUGGCGAACGGGUGAGUAACACGUGAGAAACCUGCCUCGAAGACUGGAAUAACCCGGGGAAACCCGGGCUAAUACCGGAUAUCCCCAGAUGGCCGCAUGGCCGACUGAGGAAAUGCUCCGGCGCUUCGAGAGGGUCUCACGGCCUAUCAGCUAGUUGGUGAGGUAACGGCUCACCAAGGCAUCGACGGGUAGCUGGUCUGAGAGGACGAUCAGCCACACUGGGACUGAGAUACGGCCCAGACUCCUACGGGAGGCAGCAGUAGGGAAUCUUGCGCAAUGGGCGAAAGCCUGACGCAGCCACGCCGCGUGAGUGAUGAAGGCCUUCGGGUCGUAAAGCUCUUUCAGCAGGGACGAAAAUGACGGUACCUGCAGAAGAAGCCCCGGCCAACUACGUGCCAGCAGCCGCGGUAACACGUAGGGGGCAAGCGUUGUCCGGAUUUAUUGGGCGUAAAGGGCUCGUAGGCUGUUCAGUAAGUCAGGUGUGAAAACUCGAGGCUCAACCUCGAGACGCCACUUGAUACUGCUGUGACUUGAGUUCGGUAGAGGAGUGUGGAAUUCCUAGUGUAGCGGUGAAAUGCGUAGAUAUCAGAAGGAACAUCAAUGGCGAAGGCAGCUUUCUGGACCAAUACUGACGCUGAGGUACGAAAGCGUGGGUAGCAAACAGGAUUAGAUACCCUGGUAGUCCACGCCGUAAACGAUGAUAACUAGCCGUUGGGGGGAUUUACCCCUUAGUGGCGAAGCUAACGCGUUAAGUUAUCCGCCUGGGGAGUACGGCCGCAAGGCUAAAACUCAAAGGAAUUGACGGGGACCCGCACAAGCGGUGGAGCAUGUGGUUUAAUUCGAUGCAACGCGAAGAACCUUACCUGGUCUUGACAUCCUGCGAACUUUCUAGAAAUAGAUUGGUGCCUUCGGGAACGCAGUGACAGGUGCUGCAUGGCUGUCGUCAGCUCGUGUCGUGAGAUGUUGGGUUAAGUCCCGUAACGAGCGCAACCCCUAUCCUUAUUUGCCAGCACAUUAUGGUGGGAACUAUAAGGAGACCGCCGGUGAUAAACCGGAGGAAGGCGGGGACGACGUCAAGUCAUCAUGGCCCUUACGACCAGGGCUACACACGUGCUACAAUGGGAAGGACAAAGAGCCGCGAAGCCGCGAGGUGUAGCUAAUCUCAUAAAUCUUUUCGUAGUCCGGAUUGGAGUCUGCAACUCGACUCCAUGAAGUCGGAAUCGCUAGUAAUCGUAGAUCAGAAUGCUACGGUGAAUACGUUCCCGGGUCUUGUACACACCGCCCGUCAUACCAUGGGAGUGGGUUGCACCAGAAGUGGCUAGUCUAACUUAGUGAGGACGGUCACCACGGUGUGAUUCAUGACUGGGGUAAAGUCGUAACAAGGUAACC